rnacentral:tRNA from 1 species
AAGGUCUUAGCUUAAUUAAAGCAAUUGAUUUGCAUUCAUUAGAUGUAGGAUGAAGGCCUACAGUCCUUA